rnacentral:rRNA from 1 species
UGUGCAUGGUUGUCACUUGUGUGAGAGUUGGGUAAGUCGCAACGAGCGCAACCCUUGAUUUAGUUGCCAGCAUUCAGUUGGGCACUUAAGGUGACUGCCGGUGACAAACCGGAGGAAGGUGGGGAUGACGUCAAAUCAUCAUGCCCCUUAUGACCUGGGCUACACACGUGCUACAAUGGACAGAACAAAGGGCUGCAAGACCGCAAGGUUUAGCCAAUCCCAUAAAUCUGUUCUCAGUUCGGAUCGCAGUCUGCAACUCGACUGCGUGAAGCUGGAAUCGCUAGUAAUCGCGGAUCAGCAUGCCGCGGUGAAUACGUUCCCGGGCCUUGUACACACCGCCCGUCACACCACGAGAGUUUGCAACACCCGAAGUCGGUGAGGUAACCUUUAUGGAGCCAGCCGCCGAAGGUUGGGCAGAUGAUUGGGGGGG